CAAAAUUUGCUGUCUGGAUCAGUACUAUAAAGAAUACUGGCAACUCUUCCAUAUUACACUUCCACCAGGACCAGUUCGCUCUGCCUAUUCAAAGCUUCAAGUGGAACACUAGAAGACAGGUGCUUCUACUUUGGAGCAGAAAGAUUACAUUUACAAUAACAGUGUAUGAAUGUAAUCUGACAGGCGACCAGAGCCCGGUACAUAUGAUCCACUCCAAGCUCAUCACAUCUACCAUAAUAUUCCCGGCCGUUGGUGCUUUCUUUCUCCAUCAAUGAACCUCGUUACAGGAAGCACCAAAUCCAACGUCGUCUGUUUCAAGAAGCACCUAUCAAAAACUGAUGUUAAUUGUCUUUUUGUUUUCACCCUGCAGAAUCUGCUGCUCCUCUUGUGCAUCCACACUCCAUUCAGCAGAUCUCAUGGGCUUUGCAGUCAUUGUGGCAAAAGGUGAAAC